rnacentral:misc_RNA from 1 species
GAUGGAAGAACGUAGCGAAAUGCGAUAAGUAAUGUGAAUUGCAGAAUUCAGUGAAUCAUCGAAUCUUUGAACGCACAUUGCGCCCCCUGGUAUUCCGGGGGGCAUGCCUGUUCGAGCGUCAUUUCACCACUCAAGCCUCGCUUGGUAUUGGGCGACGCGGUCCGCCGCGCGCCUCAAAUCGACCGGCUGGGUCUUCCGUCCCCUCAGCGUUGUGGAAACUAUUCGCUAAAGGGUGCCGCGGGAGGUCACGCCGCAAAACAACCCCAUUUCUAAGGUUGACCUCGGAUCAGGUAGGGAUACCCGCUGAACUUAAGCAUAUCAAUAAGCGGAGGA